GGGACCUUGGUGUAAUGGCAGCACAGAAGCCUGUGGAGCUUUUAGAGGGGGUUCAACUCCCCUAGGUCCCCCCA
rnacentral:tRNA from 1 species